UACGGAGGGUGCGAGCGUUGUCCGGAAUCACUGGGCGUAAAGAGCUCGUAGGCGGUUUGUCGCGUCUGCUGUGAAAACCCGAGGCUCAACCUCGGGCCUGCAGUGGGUACGGGCAGACUAGAGUGCGGUAGGGGGAGACUGGAAUUCCUGGUGUAGCGGUGGAAUGCGCAGAUAUCAGGAGGAACACCGGUGGCGAAGGCGGGUCUCUGGGCAGUAACUGACGCUGGAGG
rnacentral:rRNA from 1 species